GGGGAAUUUUGGACAAUGGGGGCAACCCUGAUCCAGCCAUUCCGCGUGAGUGAAGAAGGCCUUCGGGUUGUAAAGCUCUUUCGGCAGGAACGAAACGGUCGUCUCUAACAUAGAUGGCUAAUGACGGUACCUGAAGAAGAAGCACCGGCUAACUACGUGCCAGCAGCCGCGGUAAUACGUAGGGUGCGAGCGUUAAUCGGAAUUACUGGGCGUAAAGCGUGCGCAGGCGGAUUGUUAAGCAAGACGUGAAAUCCCCGGGCUUAACCUGGGAAUGGCGUUUUGAACUGGCAGUCUAGAGUGCGUCAGAGGGGGGUGGAAUUCCACGUGUAGCAGUGAAAUGCGUAGAGAUGUGGAGGAACACCGAUGGCGAAGGCAGCCCCCUGGGAUGACACUGACGCUCAUGUACGAAAGCGUGGGUAGCAAAC
rnacentral:rRNA from 1 species